rnacentral:rRNA from 1 species
ACCCGCUGAACUUAAGCAUAUCAAUAAGCGGAGGAAAAGAAACCAACAGGGAUUGCCCUAGUAACGGCGAGUGAAGCGGCAACAGCUCAAAUUUGAAAUCUGGCGUCUUUGGCGUCCGAGUUGUAAUUUGCAGAGGGCGCUUUGGCAUUGGCAGCGGUCCAAGUUCCUUGGAACAGGACGUCACAGAGGGUGAGAAUCCCGUACGUGGUCGCUAGCCUUUACCGUGUAAAGCCCCUUCGACGAGUCGAGUUGUUUGGGAAUGCAGCUCUAAAUGGGAGGUAAAUUUCUUCUAAAGCUAAAUACUGGCCAGAGACCGAUAGCGCACAAGUAGAGUGAUCGAAAGAUGAAAAGCACUUUGGAAAGAGAGUUAAAAAGCACGUGAAAUUGUUGAAAGGGAAGCGCUUGCAGCCAGACUUGCCUGUAGUUGCUCAUCCGGGUUUUUACCCGGUGCACUCUUCUAUGGGCAGGCCAGCAUCAGUUUGGGCGGUUGGAUAAAGGUCUCUGUCAUGUACCUCUCUUCGGGGAGAACUUAUAGGGGAGACGACAUGCAACCAGCCUGGACUGAGGUCCGCGCAUCUGCUAGGAUGCUGGCGUAAUGGCUGU